GGGAAGGUGGCUCAGUGGUAGAGUGCUUGCCUUGCAUGCAUGAGGCCCUGGGUUUGAUUCCUCAGGGCCCA
rnacentral:tRNA from 1 species